rnacentral:rRNA from 1 species
ACUCAGGUGUUGUUGGGUAGGGGAGCGUUCUGUAAGCCUGCGAAGGUGGCCUGUGAGGGUUGCUGGAGGUAUCAGAAGUGCGAAUGCUGACAUAAGUAACGAUAAAGCGGGUGAAAAGCCCGCUCGCCGGAAGACCAAGGGUUCCUGUCCAACGUUAAUCGGGGCAGGGUGAGUCGACCCCUAAGGCGAGGCCGAAAGGCGUAGUCGAUGGGAAACGGGUUAAUAUUCCCGUACUUGGUGUUACUGCGAAGGGGGGACGGAGAAGGCUAUGUUGGCCGGGCGACGGUUGUCCCGGUUUAAGCGUGUAGGUGUGUGUUCCAGGUAAAUCCGGUUCACUUUAACACUGAGGCGUGACGACGAGGCACUACGGUGCUGAAGCAACAAAUGCCCUGCUUCCAGGAAAAGCCUCUAAGCAUCAGGUAACAUCAAAUCGUACCCCAAACCGACACAGGUGGUCAGGUAGAGAAUACCAAGGCGCUUGAGAGAACUCGGGUGAAGGAACUAGGCAAAAUGGUGCCGUAACUUCGGGAGAAGGCACGCUGACAUGUAGGUGAAGUGAUUUACUCAUGGAGCUGAAGUCAGUCGAAGAUACCAGCUGGCUGCAACUGUUUAUUAAAAACACAGCACUGUGCAAACACGAAAGUGGACGUAUACGGUGUGACGCCUGCCCGGUGCCGGAAGGUUAAUUGAUGGGGUCAGCGCAAGCGAAGCUCCUGAUCGAAGCCCCGGUAAACGGCGGCCGUAACUAUAACGGUCCUAAGGUAGCGAAAUUCCUUGUCGGGUAAGUUCCGACCUGCACGAAUGGCGUAAUGAUGGCCAGGCUGUCUCCACCCGAGACUCAGUGAAAUUGAACUCGCUGUGAAGAUGCAGUGUACCCGCGGCAAGACGGAAAGACCCCGUGAACCUUUACUAUAGCUUGACACUGAACAUUGAGCCUUGAUGUGUAGGAUAGGUGGGAGGCUUUGAAGUGUGGACGCCAGUCUGCAUGGAGCCGACCUUGAAAUACCACCCUUUAAUGUUUGAUGUUCUAACGUGGACCCGUGAUCCGGGUUGCGGACAGUGUCUGGUGGGUAGUUUGACUGGGGCGGUCUCCUCCUAAAGAGUAACGGAGGAGCACGAAGGUUGGCUAAUCCUGGUCGGACAUCAGGAGGUUAGUGCAAUGGCAUAAGCCAGCUUGACUGCGAGCGUGACGGCGCGAGCAGGUGCGAAAGCAGGUCAUAGUGAUCCGGUGGUUCUGAAUGGAAGGGCCAUCGCUCAACGGAUAAAAGGUACUCCGGGGAUAACAGGCUGAUACCGCCCAAGAGUUCAUAUCGACGGCGGUGUUUGGCACCUCGAUGUCGGCUCAUCACAUCCUGGGGCUGAAGUAGGUCCCAAGGGUAUGGCUGUUCGCCAUUUAAAGUGGUACGCGAGCUGGGUUUAGAACGUCGUGAGACAGUUCGGUCCCUAUCUGCCGUGGGCGCUGGAGAACUGAGGGGGGCUGCUCCUAGUACGAGAGGACCGGAGUGGACGCAUCACUGGUGUUCGGGUUGUCAUGCCAAUGGCACUGCCCGGUAGCUAAAUGCGGAAGAGAUAAGUGCUGAAAGCAUCUAAGCACGAAACUUGCCCCGAGAUGAGUUCUCCCUGAGACUUUAGGUCUCCUGAAGGAACGUUGAAGACGACGACGUUGAUAGGCCGGGUGUGUAAGCGCAGCGAUGCGUUGAGCUAACCGGUACUAAUGAACCGUGAGGCUUAACCUU